GGUACUCGAGUGGCGAACGGGUGAGUAACACGUGAGUGAUCUGCCUUGCACUCUGGGAUAAGCUUGGGAAACUGGGUCUAAUACCGGAUAGGAACCGUCUUUAGUGUGGUGGUUGGAAAGUUUUUCGGUGCAAGAUGAGCUCGCGGCCUAUCAGCUUGUUGGUGGGGUAAUGGCCUACCAAGGCGUCGACGGGUAGCCGGCCUGAGAGGGUGUACGGCCACAUUGGGACUGAGAUACGGCCCAA
rnacentral:rRNA from 1 species